rnacentral:rRNA from 1 species
AUGCCACAUGCACAUCGAAAACAAACCAAAUCCAUCUGCCCAUUAAUCAGUUUUUAUUCCACCGGAAACCCCAGCCAAAAAUACGCAGCAGCCACAGAAAAUCUCCAGCAAGACCACUGCUCCACCUUCUCCUCCUUCCCUUCGUCUUCCCCCGGCCCGUUACGCUCCCUGCCCGCUCCUCCCAGUCGCCGCCGCCCUCCUCCUCCACCGCAGUCGUCUCCUCCUCCGCCGUCCAGAUCCGUCCUGCUGCGCGGCCGGCCACUUGCAAGGCUCCUAGAUUCGCGAGAGCUCCUCCCCCGCGAGAUCCGCCACCGCCGUCUCGGCGCCGCAGCCCCUUCUUCCGGAGGCGAUCCGCCCCUCGAACCACCGCCGUCGCGCCGUCCAGCUUAUAACGGUGCACUUGGUGUGAGCCAGCUUGGGUGGCGUUGUGGUACCUGCUUCAUUAUCGUCUUAGCCUAUAUUUGCCCUUGGACCAAAGGCCGUUUGAGAUUGAUAAUAUGA